CCCUGAAUGUGGUCCCCAUGGAGGAGUCCUAGGACAGCAUCCCCAAAGACUGAGUCGGAGUGGUGACCACAGGCUGGAGGUUCAUGGUUGGGAAAACAAAUAAGGAGCUGCUUUGGUGAAAUUACCGUGUUUGGUAAAAUAUGGUGUUCUGCUGAUUUGACCAAUCCUGUAAAUCAUAGCCAGAUAUUAGUUCAUCUCUCCCAAAUAUUACAGGUGCAAAUCUUUCUGGAAAGCACUCUCACUUUGCAACUCAUUUUUUAGAGUAAACAUGUGUCAAACACAGAACCUUCCUCGAGGCUCCAGAGCAGCUGGACGCAGUGUCUGCUGGGAGUCCUUGUUCAGGUAAAUGAAUCACACAGCCUUAGUAUAGGGAAUCCCUGAGAGUUAUAGAGGAUGGCAAUCUGGUCCCUGUAUUAUUAGGUUCUUCUUCUACAGCUGGUGAAAUCUCCUGUCCUGAUUCAUUUUUGGGUAUAAGUUGAGAUCCUGGCUCGUAAUGUUUUGUAGCCUUGUGGAAAGGAUCACACACAAAAUACAAGACACCGGCUGUGAUGACUGAGCAUGUGUGAAACACACAAAGAGCACUUGCUGAUCCUGUUCAACCUGGUAAGGGAAUUCACGGCUCAAUGAUGGGAGCACUCAGGCUUCACAUGUAGGUCACCAAAGCAAGGAAGCCAGGCUGUCCCAGACUUGAUGUAGGAAGAGUACAUGUCCAUCCAUCUCAACCCCAGGGACCGACUGAGAUCAGAAGUGCCUGCAAGAGUGAAUCUAC
rnacentral:lncRNA from 1 species